GACGAACCGUGCGAACGUUGUUCGGAAUCACUGGGCUUAAAGGGCGCGUAGGCGGCCCGCCACGUCCGGGGUGAAAGCCCCCGGCUCAACCGGGGAAGGGCCUCGGAUACGGGCGGGCUCGAGGGAGGUAGGGGCGGGCGGAACUUCCGGUGGAGCGGUGAAAUGCGUUGAUAUCGGAAGGAACGCCGGUGGCGAAAGCGGCCCGCUGGGCCUUCACUGACGCUGAUGCGCGAAAGCCAGGGGAGCGAACGGG
rnacentral:rRNA from 1 species